GAUGAACGCUAGCGACAGGCUUAACACAUGCAAGUCGAGGGGCAGCACAGGGUAGCAAUACGUUGGGUGGCGACCGGCGCACGGGUGAGUAACGCGUAUGCAACUUACCUAUCGAGAGGGGGAUAGCCCGGCGAAAGUCGGAUUAAUACCCCAUGAAACAGGGGUCCCGCAUGAGUUUUAUGUUAAAGAAAUUCGGUUACAGAUGAACAUGCGUUCCAUUAGCUGGUUGGCGGGGUAACGGCCCACCAAGGCGACGAUGGAUAGGGGUUCUGAGAGGAAGGUCCCCCACACUGGUACUGAGACACGGACCAGACUCCUACGGGAGGCAGCAGUGAGGAAUAUUGGUCAACGGGCGAGAGCCUGAACCAGCCAAGUAGCGUGAAGGAUGAAGGCUCUAUGGGUCGUAAACUUCUUUUAUAUGGGAAUAAAGUUUUCCACGUGUGGAAUUUUGUAUGUACCAUAUGAAUAAGGAUCGGCUAACUCCGUG
rnacentral:rRNA from 1 species